rnacentral:lncRNA from 1 species
UAAUGGAAGAAGAAAUCGUGGCACUCGUCAUUGACAAUGACUCUGACAUGUGCAAAAGCUGGCUUUGCUGGUGACCAUGCCCACAGAACCACCUUUCCUUCCAUUAUUAGUGCCCCUGACACCAGGAGCAACCCAUCAUCAGCAAAGAGUAAUUCCGCUGUCCAGAGGCACUCUUUCAAUCUUUGUUCCUAGGCAUGGAUUCCUGUGUCAUCCAUGAAACCACCUUUAACUACAUCAUGAAGUGUGAUGUGGACACCUUCAAGAAACUUUAUGUCAUUCCAGUGCUGUCUGGUGCUAGCACCAUGUAUAAAGGCACUGCUGAUAGGGUGCAGAAGGAGAUCACAGCUCUAGAACCAGCACAAUGAGGAUUAAGAUCAUUCCUCACCCUGAGCACAGCUACUCGGUCUGGAUUGGUGGCUCCAUCCUGGACUCACUGUCUACCCUCCAGCAUAUGUGCAGUAUGCAGGAGUAUGAGGAGUUGGACCCCUCCAUCAUCCACCACAAAUGCUUCUAG